rnacentral:rRNA from 1 species
CCUACGGGAGGCAGCAGUAGGGAAUAUUGGUCAAUGGGCGCAAGCCUGACCCAGCAAUGCCGCGUGAAGGAUGAAGGCUUUCGGGUUGUAAACUUCUUUUGUAGGGGAAGAUCAUGAGACGGUACCCUGAAAACAAGCCACCGCUAACUACGUGCCAGAAGCCGCGGUAAUACGGAGGGGGCAAGCGUUUUCCGGUAUUACUGGGUGUAAAGGGCGUGUACCCGGGAAGGUAAGUCAGAUGUGAAAUCUGGAGGCUUAACCUCAAAAUUGCAUUUGAAACUGUUUUUCUUGAGUACGGGAGAGGCAGGUGGAAUUCCUUGUGUAGCGGUGAAAUGCGUAGAGAUAAGGAGGAAUACUAGUGGCGAAGGCGGUCUGCUGGACAGCAACUGACGGUGAGGCGCGAAAGCGUGGGGAGCAAACAGGAUUAGAUACCCCUGUAGUC